GACGAACGCUGGCGGCGUGCUUAACACAUGCAAGUCGAACGGAAAGGCCCUGCUUUUGUGGGGUGCUCGAGUGGCGAACGGGUGAGUAACACGUGAGUAACCUGCCCUUGACUUUGGGAUAACUUCAGGAAACUGGGGCUAAUACCGGAUAGGAGCUCCUGCUGCAUGGUGGGGGUUGGAAAGUUUCGGCAGUUGGGGAUGGACUCGCGGCUUAUCAGCUUGUUGGUGGGGUAGUGGCUUACCAAGGCUUUGACGGGUAGCCGGCCUGAGAGGGUGACCGGCCACAUUGGGACUGAGAUACGGCACAGACUCCUACGGGAGGCAGCAGUGGGGAAUAUUGCACAAUGGGCGGAAGCCUGAUGCAGCAACGCCGCGUGCGGGAUGACGGCCUUCGGGUUGUAAACCGCUUUCGCCUGUGACGAAGCGUGAGUGACGGUAAUGGGUAAAGAAGCACCGGCUAACUACGUG
rnacentral:rRNA from 1 species